rnacentral:rRNA from 1 species
CCUACGGGAGGCAGCAGUGAGGAAUAUUGGUCAAUGGACGAGAGUCUGAACCAGCCAAGUAGCGUGAAGGAUGACUGCCCUAUGGGUUGUAAACUUCUUUUAUAUGGGAAUAAAAUGUUCCACGUGUGGGAUUUUGUAUGUACCAUAUGAAUACGGAUCGGCUAACUCCGUGCCAGCAGCCGCGGUAAUACGGAGGAUCCGAGCGUUAUCCGGAUUUAUUGGGUUUAAAGGGAGCGUAGGUGGAUUGUUAAGUCAGUUGUGAAAGUUUGCGGCUAAACCGUAAAAUUGCAGUUGAAACUGGCAGUCUUGAGUACAGUAGAGGUGGGCGGAAGUCGUGGUGUAGCGGUGAAAUGCUUAGAUAUCACGAAGAACUCCGAUUGCGAAGGCAGUUCACUGGACUGCAACUGACACUGAGGCUCGAAAGUGUGGGUAUCAAACAGGAUUAGAUACCCCAGUAGUC